rnacentral:rRNA from 1 species
AGUGAACGCUGGCGGUAGGCCUAACACAUGCAAGUCGAACGGCAGCACAGUAAGAGCUUGCUCUUACGGGUGGCGAGUGGCGGACGGGUGAGGAAUACAUCGGAAUCUACUUUUUCGUGGGGGAUAACGUAGGGAAACUUACGCUAAUACCGCAUACGACCUACGGGUGAAAGCAGGGGAUCUUCGGACCUUGCGCGAUUGAAUGAGCCGAUGUCGGAUUAGCUAGUUGGCGGGGUAAAGGCCCACCAGGGCGACGAUCCGUAGCUGGUCUGAGAGGAUGAUCAGCCACACUGGAACUGAGACACGGUCCAGACUCCUACGGGAGGCAGCAGUGGGGAAUAUUGGACAAUGGGCGCAAGCCUGAUCCAGCCAUACCGCGUGGGUGAAGAAGGCCUUCGGGUUGUAAAGCCCUUUUGUUGGGAAGGAAAAGCAGCAGGUUAAUACCCCGCUGUUCUGACGGUACCCAAAGAAUAAGCACCGGCUAACUUCGUG